rnacentral:rRNA from 1 species
AACGCACCUUGCGCUCCCUGGUAUUCCGGGGAGCAUGCCUGUUUGAGUGUCGUGAAAUCAUCAUGGUCAUGAUCUAUAAUUAAUCAUGGCUUGGUUUUGGAGGUUAUGUUGGCUUUUUAUUAAGUUGACUCCUCUUAAAUACAUUAGCUCAGUGUUUAAUGCUUAGAGCGGUUCACGGUGUGAUAAUUGUCACUCGCUGGGAUUUCGUAAUCUUAAGGAAGUUGCUUCCAAUCGUCUCCUCGUGAGACAAUACAUCUAAGUGUUUGACCUCAAAUCAGGUAGGACUACCCGCUGAACUUGA